GGGCGGUUAGCUCAGUGGUAGAGCGGCUGCCUUACAAGCAGUUGGUCGGGGGUUCAAAUCCCUCACCGCCCA
rnacentral:tRNA from 1 species